AUUGAACGCUGGCGGCAUGCUUUACACAUGCAAGUCGAACGGUAACAGGCCGCAAGGUGCUGACGAGUGGCGAACGGGUGAGUAAUGCAUCGGAACGUGCCCAGUCGUGGGGGAUAACUACUCGAAAGAGUGGCUAAUACCGCAUACGAUCUAUGGAUGAAAGCGGGGGACCGUAAGGCCUCGCGCGAUUGGAGCGGCCGAUGUCAGAUUCGGUAGUUGGUGGGGUAAAGGCUCACCAAGCCAACGAUCUGUAGCUGGUCUGAGAGGACGACCAGCCACACUGGGACUGAGACACGGCCCAGACUCCUACGGGAGGCAGCAGUGGGGAAUUUUGGACAAUGGGCGCAAGCCUGAUCCAGCAAUGCCGCGUGCAGGAAGAAGGCCUUCGGGUUGUAAACUGCUUUUGUACGGAACGAAACGGCUCUGGUUAAUACCCGGGGCUAAUGACGGUACCGUAAGAAUAAGCACCGGCUAACUACGUG
rnacentral:rRNA from 1 species